UAAACAGGUACCAGACCUACAGAGAACAGAGAACAGAGAGUUAAACAGGUACCAGACCUGCAGAGAACAGAGGACAGGGAGUUGAACAGGUACCAGACCUACAGAGAACAGAGAGUUAAACAGGUCCAGACCUACAGAGAACAGAGAGUGAAACAGGUACCAGACCUGCAGAGAACAGAGAACAGGGAGUUGAACAGGUACCAGACCUACAGAGAACAGAGAGUUAAACAGGUCCAGACCUACAGAGAACAGAGAGUGAAACAGGUACCAGACCUGCAGAGAACAGAGGACAGGGAGUUAAACAGGUACCAGACCUGCAGAGAACAGAGAACAGGGAGUUAAACAGGUACCAGACCUACAGAGAACAGGGAGUUAAACAGGUACCAGACCUACAGAGAACAGAGAGUUAAACAGGUACCAGACCUACAGAGAACAGGGAGUUAAACAGGUACCAGACCUACAGAUAACAGAGAGUUAAACAGGUACCAUACCUACAGAGAACAGGGAGUUAAACAGGUACCAGACCUACAGAGAACAGAUAGUUAAACAGGUACCAGACCUACAGAGAACAGGGAGUUAAACAGGUACCAGACCUACAGAGAACAGGGAGUUAAACAGGUACCAGACCUACAGAGAACAGGGAGUUAAACAGGUACCAGACCUACAGAGAACAGGGAGUUAAACAGGUACCAGACCUACAGAGAACAGGGAGUUAAACAGGUACCAGACCUACAGAGGACAGGGAGUUAAACAGGUACCAGACCUACAGAGAACAGAGGACAGCGAGUUAAACAGGUACCAGACCUACAGAGAACAGAGGACAGGGAGUUAAACAGGUACCAGACCUACAGAGAACAGAGGACAGGGAGUUAAACAGGUACCAGACCUACAGAGAACAGAGAACAGAGAGUUAAACAGGUACCAGACCUACAGAGAACAGGGAGUUAAACAGGUACCAGACCUACAGAGAACAGAGAGUUAAACAGGUACCAGACCUACAGAGAACAGGGAGUUAAACAGGUACCAGACCUACAGAGAACAGAGAACAGAGAGUUAAACAGGUACCAGACCUACAGAGAACAGAGAACAGAGAGUUAAACAGGUACCAGACCUACAGAGAACAGAGAGUUAAACAGGUACCAGACCUACAGAGAACAGGGAGUUAAACAGGUACCAGACCUACAGAGAACAGAGAGUUAAACAGGUACCAGACCUACAGAGAACAGGGAGUUAAACAGGUACCAGACCUACAGAGAACAGGGAGUUAAACAGGUACCAGACCUACAGAGAACAGAGAGUUAAACAGGUACCAGACCUACAGAGAACAGGGAGUUAAACAGGUACCAGAC